rnacentral:rRNA from 1 species
CACGAAGUUAGCCGGGGCUUAUUCUUCCGGUACCGUCAUUAUCGUCCCGGACAAAAGAGCUUUACAACCCUAAGGCCUUCAUCACUCACGCGGCAUGGCUGGAUCAGGCUUGCGCCCAUUGUCCAAAAUUCCCCACUGCUGCCUCCCGUAGGAGUCUGGGCCGUGUCUCAGUCCCAGUGUGGCGGAUCAUCCUCUCAGACCCGCUACUGAUCGUCGCCUUGGUAGGCCUUUACCCCACCAACUAGCUAAUCAGAUAUCGGCCGCUCGAAUAACGCAAGGCCCGAAGGUCCCCUGCUUUCCUCCUCAGAGAAUAUGCGGUAUUAGCUAAUCUUUCGAUUAGUUAUCCCCCAUUACUCGGUACGUUCCGAUAUAUUACUCACCCGUUCGCCACUCGCCACCCAAGAAGCAAGCUUCUCUGUGCUGCCGUCCGACUUGCAUGUGUAAAGCAUGCCGCCAGCGUUCAAUCUGAGCCAGGAUCAAACUCU